ensembl:lncRNA
AAAAAAAAUAAAUAAAUAAAUAAAACAAUGGAUAUCGACAAUGCUAAAAAACACCUAAGUGAGCUGCAAGAAGAGAGAAGAAAACACAAAAUAACAUUACCAAGUGUUCUGAAACAAAAGGUUUUGUUUAAAGAAGAAAUAAAUAAUUUAUUAAAGAAGAAUGAAAAUAGUAUAUUACAAACAUAUUUUGUUAAUAGUAUUAAUAAACCAAUUAUUAAAAUGGAAAAUGAAGAUAUAAACUUAUUAUAUGGUAGUCAGAACAUUUUACAUAGUACUAGUUCUUCUUGUUUCUUGUUUAAUAGUAGUUCUAAACAAAAUAUAACUUCUAAUUCGUUUUAUAAAGAAAUGCUAAAAAUUUAUGAAGAUAAUGAAAUAAUUACAUUAGGUAUAUUAUUUAUGGGAUUACAAGCACCUGGUGGGCAUAACAUUAUAUGUGGUGUUUUAGAUUGUUUAAAAAAAAAAAAUAAAAAAAAUAUUUUAUAUGGAUUUUUAAAUGGUUUCGAAGGACUAAUAAACUAUGAUUUCAUGGAACUAAAAAAUGAAUAUAUCAGUAUGUUUCGAAAUAGUGGUAGUUUUGAUAUGAUAAAUACGAGUAACAAAAUAAUAAAUAAUGAAAGAGAAAAGAAAAAAUGUUUUAAAAUUUGUAGGUACUUAAAUUUAAAUGGUUUAAUAAUUAUUGGUGGUGUUCAAGGUAUGGAACAAGUAGCUAUGCUUGCCGAAUACUUUGAAAAUAUUUACAACAUAAGUGAGGAAGCAAAUAAAAAAAAAAGAGUUGAUAGUUUUAAUAAAGUAGAUAAAAAUAAAGCAACAGAUGACGGUGCAUGUGUUAAUGGGAUUGUUGAAAAUAAUCAGGCAGAAGAAAACGAGAGUAAUUUAGAAGGGGUAUCGUCCAUACAUAGGAGUGAUAUAACUUACGAUAUACAACAAAACAUGAAUAUAUGCGUAAGCGAUGACAUAGACGAUAAUAUUGAUGUGGAUAAAACGUAUGAAGUUAUAAGUGAUAUAAGUGAUGAAGAAACAAAAAAUAAAUUUCCUCGAAAAAUAAAAAGUAAAACAUUAAAAAAAGUAAAAAUUAUUGGUGCACCUACAACAGUAUACAACGAAAUGGUUAAUGAUUUUGUAGAAUGUUGUUUAGGGUUCGACACGACGAUGUAUACAUGUUGCGAAUACAUAAGUUACUUAUUAUCACAUAUACAAACAUAUCUUAAUGGAUAUCAUUUUGUUAAUUUGAUUGGAAACUGUUCUAGUCACAUAGCACUGGAAUGUUUUUUACAAACAAAAGUUAAUGCUGUUUUAAUAAAUGAAGAAAUUAAAAAAAAAAAAAAAAAACUACAUGAUAUAUGUAAUUUCUUGAUAGAAAUGAUUGAAACUAGAUAUGUGAAAUAUAAUAAAAAAUAUGGUGUUGUUAUAAUACCAGAGGGAUUGUUAAAAAAAGUGCCUGAGUUUAAGCAACUGGUUCAAUGUAUUUUACGUGUAAAGGACAAAUUGAUCAUGCAAGAUAAAAACGAAAAAUAUGAAAAUGGUUUGUAUAAUAAAGAAAAUAUGUCUAACGAAGCAGUUACAUCUGAAUUGGAUGCUAAUAAAAUGGACAUGAGUAAAGAAUCUGAUGGAGUUAACGCAAUAAAUGCUAAUACUAAUAUGGUAGGUACCCAUAAAAAUAUGUAUAUGGAACUGAAAAAAGUAUUACUUACUAAACUUGACAAAAACAAUUAUGAUUUGUUUAGUUCUUUACCAGUAUUUUUUCAAAACCACUUGUUGUUUGAGAUUUGUUCCGAUGAAUUUAACUACUGCAACUUAAGAGCAGAAAAAUUACUUGCACAUAUGGUGAUGCAAAAACUUAAAGAAAAGAAAAUACAAGACUUGAAAAUAGUUUGCCAUUGUUAUGGAAAUGAAGUAACAUGUUCCUUACCCACAAACUUUGACUGCGCGUACAGCUACAUUUUAGGAUUUGGUUGUGUAGAAAUGGCAGUUAAUCAAUAUAGUGGAUAUAUGUGCACGAUAAAAAAAUUACAAAAUUUGUUAUUAAACGUAGAUGAAAUAAAAAUAGUAGGUGUGCCUGUAUGUAGUUUAUUAAAAAAAAAAAAAAAUGAGAAAGUAGUUGGAUUACAAACUGUAGGAAACGAAGCUACAUCCGAACAAGAGAAUGAAAAAAUGCAAAACUUCACUCAUAACAUUAAAGACAAUGGUUAUCUCCAAUUUUACAUGAAAAAAAAUAAAAUCGAUUUAAAUAAUGAUUAUUAUUUAAAAUAUAAAAAAUGUCGUUCUAAAUAUUUAUAUGAAGAUAAUUAUAGGAUACUGAGUGGUAUACAAUAUGAGCAUAAAAUACCUAUCGAAAACAAUAAUAAUGAUAAUAUUAGUUAUUCACAAAAAAGUAAUAACAAAAAUCCCAUUGAUUACAUGCGACUUAAAUCCAUCGCACGUGAUAUAUGGAACAGACUGAACUUCACUCUUGAAGGUAUCAACUAUGAGUACUUGGGUGUAGACAGCAAUGAAGACAAUAAGGAACAUGUAUGUCUUAACGAAAAAAAAAAAGAUGAUGACAUUGCGAGUGAAAUCCCAAACACAAGUACAAACACAAACACAAACACAAACACAAACAUGAUCAUUCAUAGCAAAAGCAAACUGUUGAACGAUUUAAAUUGUAACAAUUACAAAUGUUAUAACGACCUAUCGUAUAUCGAACAAAAGCUUAUAAAACGUGUCAUAAAUUUUAACACUGUGUUGAUUAGACAGAAUACAAGCAUUAAAUACAUUGAAAACACGUUCGAAAGUAAAUUAAAAAAUAAUUGUUUUGUUCAUAUUGAUAAAAUAAAUGAGUUCUACGUUUUACAAGAAAAUAAUAAUAAUAAUAGUAAUAUUAAUAUUAAUAAUAAUAAUAAUAUAUAUAUAAAAAAUAGUAUCCAUUGUAAUAAGCAUAUAUCUAAUGUGAAAAACACAGGAGUUGUUUUACUGUCUCAUUGUGUUCCCGGAGUUAACAAUAUAAUUGUAGGAUUACACCAACGCUUGUCUACUAACAAUUUAAAACUGUUUGGUUUCAUAAAAGGUAUAGAAGGAUUAAUAAAUAAUAAUAUAUGUUUAAUUAAUGAUAAUAAUAUAAAAAAUUCAAUAAAUAUUGGAGGGUUUUCAUUAUUAGGUGUGAGUGUUAUAUACAAUAAGAAUGAUAAAGAAAAAAUAAAUAUAUAUGAUCUGAUUAAAAAGGAAAAUGUAAACAAGAUAACUGAAAACUGCAAAAAAAAUAAUAUUAGUAAUUUAGUUUUUAUUGGAAAUGAAAAGGUUAUAUCUUUGAUGAAUAUACUGAACGAUAUAUUUAUAAAUGAAAAAGUUCAAAUAAAAAUUAUAACUAUACCUAUAUCUUUAUACAAUAGCUUUGAUAAAAAUUUAAUCGAAUGUAGUAUCGGUUACCAUUCAAUGGUAUGUAAUAUUAGUGGUAUUGUUAGUAACUUAGAAGCAUCUUGCUUAAAAAAAUAUUAUUAUAUAGUAAAAAUACCAACUAAUAUAUCGUCCUCUUUAUUACUAUCAACACAAUUAGAAACUCACUGUAACAUUUGUUGUGUUGGAGAAUAUGGCACAAGUCAUAGCAUUAAUAUGUCCACUCUUAUUGAAAAUAUUACUUUAGUUGUUAUUGAAAGAAUAAAUAGAAAAAAGCAACAUGGUAUUAUUUUGUUUAGCUCAAAUUUAAUCUAUUGUAUUAGUGAUUUUUUUCAUUUAUGUCAGGACGUGGAUGAAAAUAUAAAGGAUCCGCAGAUUUUGGAGCAGAUCAUAUCUCGUGAUGUGUUUCCGGAAAGUGUUACGAAUGUUUUAAAAAAAGAAAGUGUAGAAUUAUUAAAAAUAUGCACUCAAGAAGUGAAAGAGAAGUUGUUAAGAAAAGAAAAAAGAGAAGACGAAGAUAUUGAUGCAAACUUUGAAAUAAUGCUAAUAACAGAAAUAAAAAAAUAUAUAAAGACACUAAUGGAACAACAUGCACAAACAAACAAUGAUACAUAUUGUUAUAAAAAACAUAUGAGUACUGUAACUAAUAAUAGUAUAACAUUAAAAAAUAUAAAAGUAUACAAAGAUAUAAAUUAUUUAUCUUUAUUUAAAAUAAAAAGUAAAAAUAUUGAUAGGGAAGUUAAUUGUCAUUUCCCUACUCAUUUUGAUAACUCAUUAGCAUUUUCUCAUGGCUUAUUGGCUGGAAUUGCAGUUGAAAGUGGUAUCAUAAAUUAUGUCACUUCUAUCAGGCAUCUAAGUCUUAACAAAAAAAAUUGGAGCGGUUCGUUAUACCCUGGGUUUUACUUUAUAAAUAAAAAAGCCGAUGACGGAUAUUUUGACAAGUAUCCGUAUGUUGCCCCAGUACCAAUAUCGAUAAAAUCAAGUCAAAUGGCUACCGUUAAGCAUAAUUCACAUACAUGGGCAUAUAACGACAGUUACAUUUAUGUGGGUCCUGUUCAACAUACAACGAACUCAGAUUGUCUUGGAAGUUUCUCGUACAUGUCUUAAAAGAACAAGCAUAAUAUCAUUCAUAAUAAUGUUGCACAAUGGAUAGGAGCAUAGAUAAUUUUUUUUUUUUUUUUUUCCUUUAGAUUAUUAAAAGUAUAAUACAUAAACAAUAGUAGGAAAAGCUCAUGUUUCCAUUAUGUUUCACUUAUUUAUUUAUAUAUUUUUAUUUGAUUUUCAUUUGAAAAAAUAUAUAUGUACGUAUAUAUUUAUACACAAUCACAUAUAUAAUGUAGUUCUAAAUAGAAAAAAUAAUAAUAAUGAUAAUAGUAAUAAUAUAAACAAAAUGCAAUACAUAAGCAUAUUAAUUGAAAAAAUUUCAAAAGUAGUAGUUUUCAAUUGUUGUGUUUUUAUUAGUAUUGAUAAUAGACACGUAAUAAAUGAUUGUUUAUUCAAAUAUGCGUACA